rnacentral:rRNA from 1 species
GACGAACGCUGGCGGCGUGCCUAAUACAUGCAAGUCGAACGAGUGGCGGACGGGUGAGUAAUGUCUGGGAAACUGCCUGAUGGAGGGGGAUAACUACUGGAAACGGUAGCUAAUACCGCAUACCAUCGGAUGUGCCCAGAUGGGAUUAGCUUGUUGGUGGGGUAACGGCUCACCAAGGCGACGAUCCCUAGCUGGUCUGAGAGGAUGACCAGCCACACUGGAACUGAGACACGGUCCAGACUCCUACGGGAGGCAGCAGUGGGGAAUAUUGCACAAUGGGCGCAAGCCUGAUGCAGCCAUGCCGCGUGUAUGAAGAAGGCCUUCGGGUUGUAAAGUACUUUCAGCGGGGAGGCGUUACCCGCAGAAGAAGCACCGGCUAACUCCGUGCCAGCCGCCGCGGUAAUAC